AACGGAUGCCUAGGUGCAACACACCGAAGAAGGACGUGGAGGGCUGCGAUAAGCGCCGGGGAGCUGCCGUCAAGCUUUGAUCCGGCGAUUUCCGAAUGGAGAAAUCCGCUUGUGCUCCGCACAAGAAUUUUCAAAUAUAAAUUUUCAAUUUUCAUUGAAAAUAAUGUAAACAAGGACUAAAGUCGAGAAAUUGUAAAGCGAAGUUUUGCUUCGCAAAAUUGGAAAUUCCUGCGCGAGGCAUAAGCACUUUUGUGCGAAUACAUAAGCGCAAGAGAGGGUACCGUCUGAACUGAAACAUCUAAGUAAGGCGAGGAAAAGAAAAUAAGUAAUGAUUCCCCAAGUAGUGGCGAGCGAAAGGGGAAAAGCCUAAACCCUUCGAUUCGAUUUUGCUCCGCAAAAUCUCACUCAGGGCUAUAGCCCGGUAAGAUUAAAGGGGUCAUUGACCCCGAGCGAGGCAAAGCCGAGUCGAGGGGGGUUGCGGGACUCAAAUGUGAGACUGUUGCGAAUAGCAGAAUAACCUGGAAUGGUUGGCCAUAGAGAGUGAAAGCCUCGUAUGCGAAAUUCUAAAUAGCUCUAUGAGUAUCCCAAGUAUUGCGGGACACGCGAAAUCCUGUAAGAAUCCGGCUCGACCAUGAGCCAAGGCUAAAUAUGUGUUGCGACCGAUAGUGAACUAGUACCGUGAGGGAAAGGUGAAAGAGUACCCCGGAAGGGGAAUGAAAAGUACCUGAAAUUAGACGCUAACAAGCAGUGGGAGCCCCUCACCUUUGCUGAAGAUUGUGGUUUGUGAUUCGAACCAAAGGUAGAUAAUAUGUCGGCAAAUAGCCUUUGUAGUUUCGAGUAUCCAAAUCAAUUCGGUAGCAAAGGUGAGGGGUGACCGCGUGCCUAUUGAAGAAUGAACCGGUGAGUUUACGUUUAAGUGCGAGUCUAAGCCCGCCCUUUUUGGACAGUAGAUUGACAAGUAGAGUUUCUCGACUAAAGUAUCUGAGAAUUUACAGUUCAGUUUAGUGGCAAAAAGAGCGGGUGUAGGCGCAGGGAAACCAAGUCUUAAGAGGGCGUUUAGCGCUGAACGUAAGACCCGAAACCGCGUGAGCUAACCAUGACCAGGAUGAAGUCCCGCUAACGCGGGAUGGAGGUCCGAACCCAUGUCAGUUGCAAGUGGCUGGGAUGAGUUGUGGUUAGGGGUGAUAUGCCAAUCGAACGCGGAGAUAGCUGGUUCUCCCCGAAAUAUAUUUAGGUAUAGCCUUAUCGUCCCGCCCGCCUUUGGCGAGGCGGGGCCCCCGGAGGGGUAGAGCUCUGGAUGGUUUGUGCAGAGCAAUCCGUGCAAACCAAUCAAACUACGAAUACUCUUGGGGAUGAAGGUAAGAGUCAGUCCGACCCGGAUAAGCGGGCCAGGGCUAAAGGGAAACAACCCAGAUCCAAAGCUAAGGUCCCUAAGUGUGUCUUAAGUGUUAAAGGUAGUGUCCGCGCUUAGACAGCAAGGAGGUUGGCUUAGAGGCAGCCAUCCUUUAAAGAAAGCGUAACAGCUCACUUGUCGAUUCCCGUCCAUUGGACGGGAGGGUGCGGGUGCGCCGACAAUGUAACGGGGCUAAAAGAUACCACCGAAGCUUGGGGAUCGCAUGCAUGGCAUGCGAUUACGAAUGGAUGCGAAUGCCUGACGGUGAUUUAAGAUUAUUCGCAAAAAUUCGCAUAACAAUGAGUAGUUACGAAAGUAAUUCUCAUCAUGCGAAUGAAAACGAAUAUUUUAGAUCUGUUAGGACCAUCUGCAUAAAUUAGUAGUCGCCUGCCGUGCAGGCGAUCGGUAGGGGAGCGUUUGCAUCAGCUGUGAAGCCCUUCCGAGAGGUCAGGGUGGAGCGAUGCGAAGUGAGAAUGCCGGUAUGAGUAGCGAAAGUCCCGUGAGAAUCGGGACCGCCGUAUGUCCAAGGUUUCCUACGCAACGUUCGUCGACGUAGGGUUAGUCGGUCCUAAGGCGAGGCCAGAAGGCGUAGUCGAUGGACAAGCCGUUAAUAUUCGGCUACUUUGGCAAAAUCGUUAGGAGUAAAGGGAAGACGGAGAUGGAAUGCUUCUAGGUCGAAAUGAUACGGCCUCUAAAAAGCGAGAAAGUGAGAUGUGGAAAAUCCCUUUUCAUGAUUAUUCGAGCUUUGAUGGCUAGUUACCGCAAGGUGGCAAGGGAAGUAGUUUUAACUUCCAAGAAAUUUUCUCGUUACCAGAUUUUGUCAAAACCGUACCUAAACCGACACAGGUGGACUGGUAUUAGAGUACUAAGGCGAGCGGAAGAACCUUCCUUAAGGAACUCGGCAAUAUAACUGGACGUACCUUUGGUAGAUGUCCUCCCCCGAUUUAAUCGGGGGCGCAGUUAACGACGCCAAGCGACUGUUUAACAAAAACACAGGUCUCUGCAAAGUCGAAAGACGAAGUAUAGGGGCUGACGCCUGCCCAGUGCUCGUAGGUCAACUAUUUUGGGUGACCCCGCUUAGCGGGGAAGCUCGAGAUAUAAGCCCGAGUGAACGGCAGCAGUAACUAUAACUGUUCUAAGGUAGCGAAAUUCCUUGUCGGGUAAGUUCCGACCUGCACGAAAGGCUGAACGACUUGGCGACUGUCUUAAAGAAGGAUCCGGCGAAAUUGCAAUGGCUGUGAAGAUGCGGCCAACUUACACCAGGACAAAAAGACCCCGUGGAGCUUUACUGCAACUUGACAUUGUUUCAAUUAUUGGGAUUGUAUAGGAUAGGUGGGACCCCGCCCUUUCUGUGUUUAAUUGACAGAAAUGGUUUAAAUUGAGCCCGGAAAGGGCGGGGGACAGUGUAAUACCACUCUUCUUGACAGUUGGAACUUACUGUUUGUCCUAGCAAAAAAACGGGAGACAGGACACUGUCUGGUGGGCAGUUUGACUGGGGCGGUCGCCUCCAAAAAGGUAACGGAGGCGCACUCAAGGUCGACUCAAGUCCUACAGAAACGGACUUAGCGAGUGUAAAGGCAUAAGUCGGCUUGACUGCAAGUGGUACAUCACGAGCAGGUGCGAAAGCAGGUCUUAGUGAUCCUCACGUGGCUUAUGGGAGCGCGUGAGCUUAACNNNNNNNNNNNNNNNGGAGCGCGUGAGCUUAACGGAUAAAAGCUACCCCGGGGAUAACAGGCUGAUCUUCCCCAAGAGUCCAUAUCGACGGGAAGGUUUGGCACCUCGAUGUCGGCUCACCGUAUCCUCCCCGUGAAGUAGCGGGGAAGGGUUGGGCUGUUCGCCCAUUAAAACGGUACGCGAGCUGGGUUCAGAACGGCGUGAGCCAGUUCGGCCUCUAUCCGGUGUAAGCGUUUGAUAUUUGAGAGGGGUCACCACUAGUACGAGAGGACCGUGGCGAGCGAACCUCUAGUGUGCCAGUUGUCACAUCAGUGGCAGUGCUGGGUAGCCACGUUCGUAACUGAGAAGCGCUGAAAGCAUCUAAGCGCCAAACAGGCCUCAAGACGAGAUAUCGAAGAUCCCUGGAAGACUACCAGGUUGAUAGGCGGCAGGUGUAAAAUUAGCAAUAAUUG
rnacentral:rRNA from 1 species